rnacentral:lncRNA from 1 species
AUUGUAUAAAGGUAUAAAAAUAAUGAAAAGUUAUUUUUCAAUAUGUAUUUAAAUUUUAUAUUAUUAUGAUUUAAUCUUUUUCACCCAUAAAACGUAAAUAUAAGGAAUAAUUUUGAAUGGUGACAAAUAAGGGGAAGUAACUCUUAGUUGAAAUAUCUUUGUAAAACAACAGGGCAAUUUAUUUACGACCUAAAGCUAAGGUAAUUGGUGUUAAUCAACAGUGUGUUUGACACCAAAGCUGUCAAGUGAAGCCAUGCACUUAAUGGGUCACUUAAUUUGACAGUUUACAUAGCUAGAUGAACUUCAUGUUCAUGGAAGAAUUACGAAUUUGCCGGUAUUUCAAAGGAAUAUUACUUAUGAAAAUCAAUCUCAAGGCUAAGAAAUACGGGUGAAAUCGGGUCAUUUUCGGAAUUUCCGGGUUAUUUCAAUGACCCGGCGGGUGAUCCGGGUGAUCCCUCAGAAUUGUGAAAAUCUCGGGUCACACCCGCAGAAUCCGGGUCAGUUGACAGGUAUGAUAUAGAAUAGAAU